CCUUACCAAAUCUUGACAUCCUUUGACCGCUCUAGAGAUAGAGUUUUCCCCUUCGGGGGACAAAGUGACAGGUGGUGCAUGGUUGUCGUCAGCUCGUGUCGUGAGAUGUUGGGUUAAGUCCCGCAACGAGCGCAACCCUUAAGCUUAGUUGCCAUCAUUAAGUUGGGCACUCUAAGUUGACUGCCGGUGACAAACCGGAGGAAGGUGGGGAUGACGUCAAAUCAUCAUGCCCCUUAUGAUUUGGGCUACACACGUGCUACAAUGGACAAUACAAAGGGCAGCUAAACCGCGAGGUCAAGCAAAUCCCAUAAAGUUGUUCUCAGUUCGGAUUGUAGUCUGCAACUCGACUCACAUGAAGCUGGAAUCGCUAGUAAUCGUAGAUCAGC
rnacentral:rRNA from 1 species